UAUGUUCAUGUUGAGGGUAGAGCCACGGCGGCCGUUGAAAGAAUUAAUAAUAAUGUUUCACGAGUCUACAAGAUCCGAUCGUCUUGAUAAUCUUUUAUGACACCUAUAAUCUAGUUAGGCAGCAGCCACCGCCUUUUUUUUACCCCUCUUGGUCGUCAACUUUUUAGGGGAGUUUUUUAGGAUUGGGCCGGAGUGGCUACCGCCGCCUAGAAUUGAGUGGUUUGGAGUACAAGGCGCAUUAGUGCAGUAUUUGCUAUUCGAGAAAUGUGUGUUUGAAGUUUCGAAAUUACGUGGAUCCUUAUGGCGGAAAGAAAGUUCAAACUGACUUAAAAAUCGGAAUUCAGGAGCGAAUUUUUCACAGAAAAUGUAUUAAGACUAGGUUUACCUGAAAUCAUUAAUAUCUCAAUUUUUUCAAAAAACUGCACUUAUGCUCCUUGUCCUCCAAGCUCCUUAAUUGGCCCUCCUUCAAUGAGAAGACUAAACAUAGAAAUUUUCAGAUGUAUAUUUACUUGCUUCUGCAGAACUCCUGGAACCCUGUCAUAUCCAGCUCCAUCUUGUACCAUCCAGUCGUCAACAUUGUUUUGUCUCGGUAGUGCAGUAAAUGCAUCCUUCACAAUUUCUGCGAACAAAUCAAUCGCAAGGUCCUUGAGGUGAAUGAAACACUCAUGAAUAUGGAGCGCUUCUCGGAGUGAAACUUUCAGAAAUCGCGAGAGGGGUUUUGUAUUUUUCUCUGAAAUUAUUUAUAAACGUCCAGUUUCCUCAUCCCACUCCGCUAGACCAUGAUGAGUUGUUUUCUGGAACUUUGAGUUUUUCUGUCGAGAAGCCCUUCGUAUCGAUUUGUUUUUCAAUUGAGGGGAGAUUUAAUUAUAGCUGGGCAGUUCUCGCUAACAUUUAUAAAUAUGCAGGAGUCAAAGGGUCACUUUUUAGUAUUGCUUCAUUCCCUGAGCGGGCACCAUGCUCUGUCUAUCUUACUUCUUCUUACCCAGCUGCAUACUAUCAGCGGCUGUCAUCAUAAAUGCAACUCGCAGUCACAUACCCGAGAGUUUGACCGAUGUUGAGGAAGAGGCUUCGCGCGAGAAGACAGAGGACACAAAUACUCUGGAAUCCUUAUCAGCAGCCCUUGGUAAUUCAAUUGAAGUAUCCUCUGACAUACCGUGCCACAUGGACGUCCAAGUGACAAAACGAGUGACCGGGCACUGUGUGAGUCUGGGACACGCUACUAGGGGCUGCAUCGCGGGAUCCUACUUGCACCCUUUCCACCACGAAUGUCUCGGAAAAUAAGCAUCCACCCCCAAAAUCACACCCCGUUCCCGAAAAUAACCUCGUGACCUUACUCAUCUCUCCGACAUAAUUAUCCUUUUUCUACUCCAUGUUAAUGAAUUUUGUUCCCUGUUUACGUUGCUAAGCUAUCAAUACAAUUUUUUGUUUUACACUUUUCUUAAUUCCUUGGUUUU
rnacentral:lncRNA from 1 species